GCAGGUGUGGUCUAGCUGGUCAGGACAAGGGCCUUCCAAGCCCUUAACCCGGGUUCGAAUCCCGGCACCUGCA
rnacentral:tRNA from 2 species